AUGGCUCAGUGAGGCCUUCGGACUGGCCCAGGGAGGUCGGCAACGACCACCCAGGGCCGGAAAGUUCGUCAAACUUGGUCAUUUAGAGGAAGUAAAAGUCGUAACAAGGUCUCCGUAGGUGAACCUGCGGAGGGAUCAUU
rnacentral:rRNA from 5 species